UACGAAGGGUGCAAGCGUUACUCGGAAUUACUGGGCGUAAAGCGUGCGUAGGUGGUUUGUUAAGUCUGAUGUGAAAGCCCUGGGCUCAACCUGGGAACUGCAUUGGAAACUGGCUUACUAGAGUGCGGUAGAGGGGUGUGGAAUUCCCGGUGUAGCGGUGAAAUGCGCAGAUAUCGGGAGGAACACCAAUGGCGAAGGCAGCUUGCUGGGACGGUACUGACGCUGAGACGCGAAAGCGUGGGGAGCAAACAGGG
rnacentral:rRNA from 1 species